rnacentral:tRNA from 1 species
UGGGGAAUCGUCUAACGGUAGGACAGCAGACUCUGGAUCUGUUUGUGAGGGUUCAAAUCCUUCUUCCCCAACCA